UACGAAGGGGGCUAGCGUUGUUCGGAAUUACUGGGCGUAAAGCGCACGUAGGCGGAUAUUUAAGUCAGGGGUGAAAUCCCGGGGCUCAACCCCGGAACUGCCUUUGAUACUGGGUAUCUCGAGUCCGAGAGAGGUGAGUGGAAUUCCGAGUGUAGAGGUGAAAUUCGUAGAUAUUCGGAGGAACACCAGUGGCGAAGGCGGCUCACUGGCUCGGUACUGACGCUGAGGUGCGAAAGCAUGGGGAGCGAACAGG
rnacentral:rRNA from 1 species